GGAGAAGGUGAUCUGGCUGUGACAUGUCACCCCAUUGAUCUGCAGUGCGGACAGACUGACACGGAUGGUGAGGUGUCCCCUUCCUCCCUGCCGGCUUCAUCCCUUCUGAAACCUCACAGAGAGGACGCCUCCCCUGGAUGGAGGACUGCUGUCCUGUAGUCAAGGGUAAAUGGCCAGCCUUCUCCCCCGCAAGGGCCUCCAAACAAGCUUUGGAGAAAACCAUUUGCAACAGGAGAAACUCAUAGGACAUUCACCGUCAGUGCCCGUAGCUGGACCUUUAUU
ensembl:misc_RNA 7SK 7SK RNA